rnacentral:rRNA from 1 species
AGCAGCCGCGGUAAUUCCAGCUCCAAUAGCGUAUAUUAAAGUUGUUGCAGUUAAAAAGCUCGUAGUUGAAUUUCGGGAUCAAUUCGUCGGUCGUGCUUUCGGGUACGUACUGGUGUUAUUGGUUUCUCCCUUCUGACGAACCAUGAUGUCAUUAAUUUGGUGUUAUGGGGAGUUAGGACUGUUACUUUGAAAAAAUUAGUGUGUUUAAAGCAGGCUCACGCUUGAAUACAUUAGCAUGGAAUAAUGAAAUAGGACGCUUGAUUCUAUUUUGUUGGUUUCUAGGAUUGACGUAAUGAUUAAUAGGGAUAGUUGGGGGCAUUAGUAUUCAAUUGUCAGAGGUGAAAUUCUUGGAUUUAUUGAAGACUAACUACUGCGAAAGCAUUUGCCAAGGAUGUUUUCAUUAAUCAAGAACGAAAGUUAGGGGAUCGAAGACGAUCAGAUACCGUCGUAGUCUUAACCAUAAACUAUGCCGACUAGGGAUCGGAUGAUGUAAUUUUUAAUGACUCAUUCGGCGCCUUAC